GACGAACGCUGGCGGCGUGCCUAAUACAUGCAAGUAGAACGCUGAAGGAGGAGCUUGCUUCUCUGGAUGAGUUGCGAACGGGUGAGUAACGCGUAGGUAACCUGCCUGGUAGCGGGGGAUAACUCUUGGAAACGAUAGCUAAUACCGCAUAAUAGUAGAUGUUGCAUGACAUUUGCUUAAAAGGUGCAAUUGCAUCACUACCAGAUGGACCUGCGUUGUAUUAGCUAGUUGGUGGGGUAACGGCUCACCACGGCGACGAUACAUAGCCGACCUGAGAGGGUGAUCGGCCACACUGGGACUGAGACACGGCCCAGACUCCUACGGGAGGCAGCAGUAGGGAAUCUUCGGCAAUGGACGGAAGUCUGACCGAGCAACGCCGCGUGAGUGAAGAAGGUUUUCGGAUCGUAAAGCUCUGUUGUAAGAGAAGAACGAGUGUGAGAGUGGAAAGUUCACACUGUGACGGUAUCUUACCAGAAAGGGACGGCUAACUACGUG
rnacentral:rRNA from 1 species